rnacentral:tRNA from 1 species
GCGGAAGUGGCGGAAUGGCAGACGCGCUAGCUUCAGGAGCUAGUGGGGGAAACUCCAUGAGGGUUCAACUCCCUCCUUCCGCACCA